UUUUUUUGGAGAGGGGGGCCAUCUGGUGCCAGCAGCCGCGGUAAUUCCAGCUCCAAUAGCGUAUAUUAAAGUUGUUGCAGUUAAAAAGCUCGUAGUUGAAUUUCGGGAUUGACACAUCGGUCGUGCCUUAAGGGGUAUGAACUGGUGUAGUCAAUUUCUCACCUUCUGGAGAACCGCGAUGCCCUUAAUUGGGUGUCACGGGGAACCAGGACCUUUACUUUGAAAAAAUUAGAGUGUUUAAAGCAGGCAUUUUGCUUGAAUACAUUAGCAUGGAAUAAUAAAAUAGGACGGCAUGAUUCUAUUUUGUUGGUUUCUAGGAUCACCGUAAUGAUUAAUAGGGAUAGUUGGGGGCAUUAGUAUUCAAUUGUCAGAGGUGAAAUUCUUGGAUUUAUUGAAGACUAACUACUGCGAAAGCAUUUGCCAAGGAUGUUUUCAUUAAUCAAGAACGAAAGUUAGGGGAUCGAAGACGAUCAGAUACCGUCGUAGUCUUAACCAUAAACUAUGCCGACUAUGAGACGAGCACGUAGUACUCAGC
rnacentral:rRNA from 1 species